rnacentral:rRNA from 1 species
UAGCUUGUCUCGGCCUUAGGGGUAGAGAGAGCAAGGAGACGUGCGGAGAGUUUGGGAUAUGCGGCGGACGGAGUACGGGACAGGCUGCGGCGUAGUGGUGGACCGGCGGCGGCGUCCGGGGAAGGAAGGGAGCAUGCGCUGCGACGGCGGCAUGGAAGCCGCCACGCAAACUGCGCGAGCCCGCUCGAAGACCACGAGCCCCGUUCAAAAGGGCCAAAGACGCGGAGGACACUUACCUCCUCAACCUCCGCGCCUCCGGGCCAGUAGGAAGGCUUAAAGGGCUACGUCUCUGCCACGCUACCAUCGACUGAAGGUACCGGCCGGAGACAGCUCCGGACUACUGUUUGACCACUCAACUAGACUGACUACCCUCCCCGCCAGGCAGCGGCGGGACGCGGCCACUGACAAGAGAUAUCUGAGGUCCUGCCGUUAUAUUAACAGCGUCUAGAUGGCCUCCGCGUAGGGAGAUACCGCAACUGGCGCUGUCUAGACUUCCAUGGCCACCCACUGAGUCUAGACGUUCCUCUCUGCACGGCCAGAGGUGACGAUCCCGGAACCGAUCACCGACUAUGUACGAUGGCCGCUACACUAAUUGGUCUCCAUUAAAACGAUAUUGGGCCACCGACACCACCGUGCCACCCAGCUAGCUCAAGAGGGUGACUCUUUAAACCUAGAUCGAAAGAGCAGAUGGAUGGGGUCCGCUCGAGGGAUCGGAAUAUUACGCCGAUGACAAACUACAGACAUCGUCUUCGGAUCUAGACAAACUAGACGAUACUAGAUGACAUCGGAACCGACUUCUAUUCGGUAUUAGUCGAAGUCUAGAGACUACGUCCUACUACUGUAGGCGUACGCUCCAUCACCAAACCUCGUCCGGUCACUCCACGUUACCAACGGACUCCUCUAACUAUAAAACGAACCUCCGAUCGGUACUAUUAGCUAUUUUAUGGUGUUCCUUGUCUGAAUGACCAAAAACCUAUCAAACUAUUUUAAUAUACCGAAUUUACAAAAAUAACCAUGGUUCCAUUAAUUCACACUGGUACAAUAAAACACCGAUAAAAAAUAUUAUUAUUAUUAUUAAUAAGUGAAAAUAGCUAAUAAAAAGAUAAACAAGAUGUACAGAUACUAAAAUCUAAUCACGUUUAAUUCGGAAUGUCUACUACUAUACACUAAGGUACAAAUAGUGAGUGUUAAAAUGAGUGAGGCAAAAGAAAAAUUUUCCACAUAUAUUAAAUAUCUUUAUAUAAAAAAGAUAAAAAAAUUGUUCAAAUAUCUUAAAUAUCUUUUUCCUUAUAGUUAAAGUUAUUAUGAUUAUUUAUUUAUUUAUGCUUUUAUAUAAUACCUAUAUCGUAAACUACACUUCCUGCCCGGGGUUGAACACGGUUCUCCAGGACCCAAACUGCACCGGAGAGACGUAACGUGACACAUCCCCAUUCCCAACGGAACAUAUUAGGAAGGAGUCUGGGGGAUGGAGGACACCCCGGAAAAUCGUGCAAUCAGUUACUAGGUACACCAUAAAACCAACAGCUAUAAAAUAAUAGUAAAAGAUGUUUGCUUUGAAUCUCUUUAACUGAAAACUUUCUCUAAUCAUGUGUGAUAACAUUUAAAUCCGACACAAACCGUAACGGCACCUAAUAAUGUAAGGUCGAAAACGGAUAAAAUAACAGACGAGUAGAAAAAAGGAAUGACGUCACUAAUAACGUCUCAUCAAUUGUGAUUAGUAUCAAGUCGUUAGGUGUUUGAUUCGGAGCCAUAUGUAAAAAUUUGUUCUAUUAUCGGAUGUGUACAAUAAAGAAUUAGUUCAUUGAUCGAUUUAAUUGGUAUAUUGAUACAAUCGUAACAUGUUAAUAAUAAUAUCUUGAUAUUAUAAAUAAUUUAAAAUCCAUAUACGCAACAUGUACAAAAUACUAACAUGUAGUCACUCUUUGAUGUGUAGCAACCUGUUCUACUACAAACAUGUACAUACAAUAGUGCCGCUGAUCAUAUUAUAUGAUGAGGGAGGGAAGUGUUUAUAUUCUACAAGAUUGAAGAAACAUUUAUCCUACCUAUAUCUGUGUAAAAUCACACAAACAAGUAAGUAAAGACAGACAUACAUCAGAUAUAACCUUAUAGGUUUUGUAGAAUAUUAAUACUUGGCUCCCUCAUGUAUUGACACAACUAUAACAUGUUAACUUUGAACUGACAUAUACGACAUCUACAGAAUACUAAAAUGUAAUACUCUUUUAUUAUUCAAAUAAUUCUGUAUUAACAUGUACGAAAUAUAUAUAAUGCUAUACUAAGAUGUAGCACCCUUUUACUCAAAACUUAUAGUAUGAAGAUUACAAGGAGUAAUUUUUAUAUAAAUAAUAUCACAAUUAAGAAAUUUUAAAUUCCCGUACAAAACAAGACUACUAUACAUCCUUAUCUGUGUUCUUAUUCCAUCUUUACGCACACUAUUCUUUUGUAUCCUUAAAACAGUUGACAUAAACCAAGUGUUUUGAGCCCUAAUAAUUAUUUUUACACCAGUUUAGAUCCUACGAUAAUGCGUUAAUUUCUGGAGCCAUCAUCCUCAAGCCUUUUACUCCAGGUCUACCAAAAACGCCCCUACAAGACGUAACGUCUCAUUCACACUGUCAACAUCCUUGAACCAGUAAAAUCAAGAUGCACGGAUAAUAAAAGGUAGUAACGUUUUAUUUGGUGAGUAUAAAAAUAGAGAACUAAAUACUUGACCAAACCCUCGCUACGUGUAAGAAUGGUGAGUACAAGUUCAUAAAUACCGAAGCCACGAUUACUUUACACGUCAAGACACAAUCAUAAAAUAAAACACAAUGAAAAUGGUAUCUUCACAUUCUUCCCAGUUAAUAAAAAAACAAAUAUGUCUACAUCAGCAUGGAGAACCAUCUAUCUUUUCAAUCCUCGUUAUACGACAUCAAUAAUCGUAUCGUCUACAUACAAAGGUAGCAAAGUACUCAACUGUCAGUGGUAAAAAAGAACAAUAAUGUACAACGCAUAUCAACAUAGACAAUAUGUUGAAGGUGCAAGUAGUAACCUUUAUAUCAACAGACAAUUUGUAGAGAUACCGGGAAAACAUAUUGGACUGGAAUAUAUUUGUCCGCCAGAUCGACACUUAUAAACGAAAAAAGAGAGACAAUUUCGUACAAAUUUUAAAAGGUUAAAGACACUGUAAUAAAACGGAGUUUUCGUUCGCUCCACGUAACUUAGACUGAUCGUCAAACUUCAAGUAUAAUUGAUAUGUCUUCAUAUCCUCCCAUCGAAUUAACAAUAUAGUACAACAUAAGUUUAGAAAUAAUACGCUACUCGGAAUGUCUUACAAUAAUAUACGUUCGGUCGUGCUCCGCACUACCACAAAGGAGGAAGUGGAGUUUAUACACGUUGAUCUACUCCGGUCGUAAUCCGCACAACCGCAAAGGAGGAAGUGGAGUUUAUACACGUUGAUCUACUCGCGGCCCUCCGGUACCCUCAGCGCCAGCGUGUGUUUGGGCAAUACUCGGAAAGCCGGCGCGUAGGAACAACGGCGGUCCUCACGGCUUCGUGCUGCCCGUCUGUUACACACAGGAAACGAGUGCAGGCAGCUCCGUUCGCUACUCCGGUUGUUGCCGCUGCACACCCUCCUACCUACCUUACGAGCUCCAACGGAGGCCCGCUGUUGGUAACAACCGCAGGCAGGCUCGUUCCCUACUCCGGGUACUGCCGCUGGUGCCUGGUCACACUGUGACGGCUCGCGGCAGGAGUGGCGUCAUGUAUCAACAACUCGACAGCUCGGGGUGGAGAAGACCUAGAUAGACCGCUCGUCGUCCUGUGGCGGUUAGAGGUGCCGGUCCUUGGGCGUUCCAUCUCUCACUUCCCCUUCUCCCUCUGCUGCCACCCUAGACACGAACGAACACGGUGGUACCUGGAGCUCAACGAAACGAAGAGUAGAGGAGUGGUACACGGCGACAAGAAGAAAGAAAGGGAUCUCGCCCUGCUUCCCAACUCGUCCCCAUCUCGCGAUGGUUUAAAACCCCUUUUGGCUCUCGCCCUGUUUCCCCGACGUACGAACAACGGUGCCUGUCCGGUUAUAAGGCGAAACUAGGGGUCGGACUUAUGGUACUGGACGGUUUGUUGUUUGUAAACCCAUAGGGUUACGGUUACAGAUUACGACCCGGAGUAGUAGUUGGAGGUUUGCCACACAAUAGUUUUCUGUGAACAUAAUACCACUCGAACAUUAAUCGAAGUGUUCUUCGUGGAAGACCUAAGAUAACAACUAGUCCAAACUAUUUUUUUAAGUUGUUCAUUCUCUUGAAUUGGUAGCGUCUUAUAGUGUACCCGUACGUGUAUCGUCUGUCCACUGUCCAUUAUACACUCGUGCCGUCCAUUAUACACUUCAUUAUACAAGUAUCCUCAAGUUUUAUCCGUUCCGUAUUAUACCAGUUUCCUCAUGUAAUAUAGUCAUCUUGUCUACUUAGAGGACUGUAACGCGAAAUAAAACGGUACUAUGAGGUGAACGACAAAACAAGAGGACGGGAACUACGGGCGGAAACGACGUUACGUAUCAUUAAUCAAAUACAUAUACUAGUUUAAUAGAUCCUCUUUUAAAUAUCAUACGUUACUAAAUUCCACGUAAGACUGGCAGAAAAAAUGAACCGUCCAAAAGAAAAGACACUAUAUUCUCUGAGAUAACAGUGAUGAAUAAUAAGAAACUAUUAACCAACCCGAUGAUGAUGUGACUUCCAUAUUUUAUACACGUCCUUCGUAGUGGUGUCGAUCGUAUCCUAUGCUCAUUUUAGGACUAACGUGUCCUCUGAGAGGGAGGAAAGGCCAAAUAAUCCGGAGGUUUCGAGUUCUCGAAACGUAUAAACAAUCCGGAUUCUCAAAGCGUAUAAAUAGUGGUGUCGAUCGUAUCCUAUGCUCAUUUUAGGACUAACGUGUCCUCUGAGAGGGAGGAAAGGCCAAAUAAUCCGGAGGUUUCGAGUUCUCGAAACGUAUAAACAAUCCGGAUCAGGACCGGUACCCUUCGGGCCGGGCUGGGCCGGGCUUUUUCGGGCCGGGCCGGACCGGGCUGCGAUGGAGGCCCGGCCCGAGCCCGGAUCAAAAACUCGGACUUCCGGCCCGACCCGGGCCCGAGCAGUAAAAACGUCAAAUGACUUCCAGCCCGGCCCGGCCGGACUUCGGACUACCCGAAAAUCCACAAGCCCGGCCCGAGCCCGGGUCUUUGUGUCCGGGCUACCGGCCCGGGCCCGGACCUAAAAAACACAGCCCGAACCGGUCCGGGCCGGGCUUCGGGCCGGGCCGGACUCCAAACCGGUUCAUAUCAAUCCGGAUUCUCAAAGCGUAUAAACACGGACAUGGUCUAACGGUCCUUUUCAAUUUUUUGCUCAUGAAAAAAAAAACGACAUUGACUUUUAGAAUCGUGUAUACUUGUCGGUAACCUUUAAACGAAUGCGUUAGAAUCGUGUGUACUCGUCUGAAAAUACUCGUAAUUGUAAAACAUAUUACGAUUUAACGGACAAGACGACACUCUUUACAGGUAUGAACGUCAAUUGUUUAUGUCAUGAUGAAUGAAUUAAGCGAUCAUUUUAGGGAGAUCAACUCGUCUUGUUUAUGUCAUGAUGGAUGGAGAUUAAGUCGUGUUGAUGAAAUAAGGGUGGGUUAAAACGUCAAUUGUUUAUGUCAUGAUGAAUUAAGCGAUCAUUUUCGGGAAAUUAAAGGAUUGUUGAGCCGCGUCAGUCGCGAGGGCAGGUAUAGACGGUAACCUAAUAAUAUUUAGAACGAGAUUGUUAACGCAGUCUUGGGGCAGGUUUUAGCAGGUUUAGGGGUCAGUUAGACGCGAUUAAAGCCUUAGACGUCAGUUAGACUCGAUUAGUACCUUCCCACUUGCCUUAGCCUAAGACAUGGACUCAACAAAUUAUCGCCGUAAGGGAUUUGCCGCGGGCAACGUCCGUACACGCGUUUGCCCGCGUGUGGGGGGCGCCGUGGGUAAUACACAAAAAUAAAAAACAGAAUUAGGCGUUUUUUCCCGCGAUGGUCCUAAGCUUGGUGGAUGGAGGCGUAGUUCCUGUCGUUCAAGUUGGUGCGCUCGUGUCCCGUCCUAUACCAAUGCGAAAUCAAAAAGACAGAUAAUAAGCAAGAAAAAGGAAAAAGUAAAAAACAAAAGGAAAAAUUUAAUGUGCCGGUGCACAAAAAGAAAAAAGAAAAAAAAGACAAGAAAGAAAAGCGGAAAAGAAAAAGAAAAAGAAAAAGACAGAAAAAGUUGUAGCUGCUUGAAAAAAAGUUAAAAUACUUGAAAGAAAGUUUAAACUACUUCAAAAGAAGUUUUAGCUACUUCAAAAAAGUAUAAGCCACUUGAAAAACGUUUUAGCUACUUGAAAAGAGUGGUUUAAGGUACUUGAAAAAGGUAUUAGCUACUUAAAAAAAAGUUUAAGUUACUUGAAAAAAAGUUUAAGUUACUUGAAAAAAACUUUUAGACACUUGAAAAAUUUUAAACUACUUGAUAAAAGCUUAACCUACUUGAAAAAAGUUAUAGGUUUUAUACAAGUCUAAAAAGCUUUAAAGCGAACUUAAAAGUCUUUUACAAAAAUCUUUAAGGUUUACAACAAGUACAAAAGCUUAAAACAAGUGCAAAGUUUUUAUCAAGACUUAAGGUUUAAAACAAUUGGCAUAACUUCUUUUUACAAGUGGUAUGUAACUUUUUUACAAGUCAAACAUAUUUUUUUACAAGUAGUACAUAUCUUUAAAACAAGUCGUACAUAAGUUUUCCUCAAGUAGCAUAAAUUUUUUUUCAAGAUACACAUAAACUUAUAACAAGUGGUAUGUAACUUUUUUUCAAGUCACACAUAUUUUUUACAAGUAUCACAUCUCUUUAAAACAAGUCGUACAUAGGUCUUUUUCAAGUCGUAUAAAUUUUUUUACAUUGAAAUACAUUAUGUACCACUUGAAAAUAUUUUAAACCACUUUCAAAAACUUAUGUACUUGAAAAAAGAUUAAGCUCUAAAAAAUUUUGAAUAAAGUCUAAAAAAAGAAAAGGUUUUUUAAUGCAGAAAGAUUUAACAAACAUGGUCUUCAUCACGCAAUCAUAACAACAAUUGGUAGAGCGCGACAUUACUUAGUGAUCCAAUAUCAUCUACAUGACAAAUCCGUGCGACGCAGUAUUGAUUUGCCGCGCUCUAGCUUAGGACAACCUUCGUCGAAAAAACCCUCCAAAAAAGAGACGCACAAGGACCCGGCCGGGUGGUCUAUCACGGUCACCCGCGGUCAACGGACAUGGCCGCGAAUUACGCGGCAUAUCCUCGAGGGGGGGAUGCGCGCCGGAGGUCGAGGUUGAGGGCGCGGGAGACCCGGAGGUCGAGCGCUCGGAAGCGGCGGAGCCGGUGGAAGAAGCGACGGACCGUAAAGGACCAUACGAGGCACGGGCGCCGGUCGGGGAGCUAAAAGAGAGGCGUGCGCGUCCACAUGGCUUGUCAUCGCCUGACCCUGAAGAACGGAGGGAAUGGCCGGUAGGGCGCCACCACCACCGCCGCCGCCGCCCCUACCCUUCCCCACCUAAACCUCCUCCGCCUCCGACCUUUCCCAACCGACCAGCAUUAUCCAAACAACAUCCAAUCCCACAUAAAAUUCACACAUACAGAUAAAAGAACUUUUCUUAAUAGAAUUCCCUUUAUGAAUAUAAGUAGACCGGCAAGCCUACGUUUUACAGACACCGUAACAAUAGCGCGGUGCACGGGGCACGGGGGCUCUGUACUACCGCACGUACGCGUUGUUGGGAUGGGGUUGCCGACUGACCCCUUAUGGAUGCUCCAUCCGGGUAGUGAUAACCCUUUUUGGAAUGUCCACCGGAGAUGACUCACCGCCCGCGACAGUCCUCCCGAACAAACUCCUGGGCGGUGACAAUAUGCGAGCGAUUAAGAAGUACCCGCUCUUCGUUGUGACUGCCCGUAUAUCUACACGGGCGGUCACCAAGGAGCGGUUCGUCACCGCCCACGAAGGUUCGCUGGCGUUGUCGAUAUAGAUCCAUGAGCACAGACUACCAAAGUUUUAAAUAGUUUCAAACCUCACCACCCAUGAUGGCCCGUGGGCGGCGUUGAUAGACGGUGGAUGGUGCGUAUAUAUCAACAACGUCCGCGAUAUACAGCGAGCAGUGAGACCACUGUCAGUGGGCGCGGAAGGAGGCGUAGGUUGCAGCGGGCGCAGAGGCGGGUUGAGCAGCAAGCGGAGCCGGUAGCAGGACCGGCAGCAGGCUGAGGUGGGGCAACAAAACUCUUCUCCUGUGGCUGACAACGUCCUAGUUCCUGCUGGUAGUGGAUGUCAGCGUUUAUGUUACUGCGAUAGCGGAUAGCUUUCUAAGUUAUACGUAGCUUCACACUUACCGAAAGAGUUAAAGCGCUACCGUUUAUACUAUGUUUUCCCACUUCACGUCUAUAAUACAGGUACAAACUGUACCCUUUUACCUUAAAACGUGUUGGGCAAACUUCCGUCGGACGACCGCGUGAACGAGGCAGCGCCAAAGCAACGUCCACUAUGUGCCACCGGUUUCGUACCACUCCUCCUACAAUCGCUACUACCUCCUUUGUUACUGCAUCUUUUGAGACCGCUACUUGUCCGUCUCGGCGGUCUUCCUCCUUUGUUACUUGUACGCGUACCUCUUCCUUUACUACUUUACGGUGGGCUUGUACUUCUCCUGGUACUCUGACAGUGCGUCCUAUACAGCAACCGAUGUUACGAUGUUCUAGGAGUACAAUUUCUAGACGAAGCCUUCUUCUGUUGUUCGCUCUCUCGACGAUAAUUUCUCCGACAUUUCAACCGCGUUAACCUUUAUCUGUGCUUUUGAGGUGACGUACUUCCAACGUUAGGGCUCUUUUUCGCGAACGUGUAGUGUGAGUUUGAAGACCUGUAGUUCCGUUCUAAGUUCUCGUGUCUACGUUCAGACCUACGAUGUAACUUUAUAAAUGUGUUUCAAAACGGGUUCCCCUUAAAAAACGGAGCGUCACAACUACUCCGUUUCUUCUAAGACACAGGCUAACUAAACGGUGUACAUUCUAUAGUGCGUACGUAUUUACUAACGUAGAAUAUAACUUUACUCAUACGCUUGUUUUAUCUCGUAGGUUGAA